CUAUACAUCCAGCAGUAGUCUGGGUGGUUACAGUUACAGUAACUAUACAUCCAGCAGUAGUCUGGGUGGUUACAGUAACUAUACAUCCAGCAGUAGUCUGGGUCAUUUCAGUAACUAUACAUCCAGCAGUAGUCUGGGUAGUUACAGUAACUAUACAUCCAGCAGUAGUCUGGGUGGUUACAGUAACUAUACAUCCAGCAGUAGUCUGGGUGGUUCAGGAACUAUACAUCCAGCAGUAGUCUGGGUGGUUCCAUAACUAUACAUCCAGCAGUAGUCUGGGUGGUUACAGUAACUACACAUCCAGCAGUAGUCUGGGUGGUUACAGUAACUAUACAUCCAGCAGUAGUCUGGGUGGUUACAGUAACUACACAUCCAGCAGUAGUCUGGGUGGUUACAGUAACUAUACAUCCAGCAGUAGUCUGGGUGGUUACAGUAACUAUACAUCCAGCAGUAGUCUGGGUGGUUACAGUAACUA
ensembl:lncRNA